GCCAGUGUGGUGUAGUGGCUUGAGCAUUGGACUAUGACUCUGGAAACCAGGGUUCAAAUUCCUGCUGUGCCA
rnacentral:tRNA from 1 species